GAAGUAUGUUCCCUGGACCAGCGGUAUCAACAUCACCUGGGAAGAUGUAGAAGCACAAAUUCUCCUGCCUACUCCAGACCUACAGAAUUAGAAACUCUGGGGCUGGAGCUCAGUAAUCGGUGAUUUACCAGUCCUCCAGGUGAUUCUGAAACAUGCUCUCGUGUGAGGACCACUGCUGUAAAGGCAAGUCUGUCCACUUGUAAAACCCUGUGAUUCUACCUUGCCUGAUAAUCUUCACCAACUCGAAACUGUAGUGAACUCCGUAUCCUCUCAUUAAGCAGACCUCUUGGCCUCAAAAGGAGAUGUAAGUCCUUGGAAAGAGUUAGUGAUGCGACCACUCAAUUCCAUGGCCUCAGUGUCUUACCAAGCCCUUGACUCCUGGUGUUUGUCCUCAUAGUCCCUGUGCUCUGUGCCUGUUAUUAAGGUCAGAAGAACCUACUCCUGCACCCAAACUCACCAUCUGCUUACCCGGCAGGCCAGGUGACUCAAAUGUGUGGACUUUUGCUGCUGAAGUAUUGUAAAGAUGGAUUAUUCUGACCUAGGAAGAUGUGAGACCAUGCCAGGGAGCUGAAGACAAGGUUUUCCUGAAGGGGAAAGGAAGGUUUCAUUGUGAAAGAUCUCUCUCUCUCUCACUCUGGAGAAGGAGGAGGAGGAAGAAAAUGGUGAGAUUCUUAAGACAAGGAGGCAAAGCUUUUCCUUUUUUCUUGGUUUCUGGAAAUAGUCAUAUUUAGAACACAGUUUUUCUACAUUAUAAUUCCCUCUAGUUACUCUUCUCCUUAGCCACUAAGUUUAAUAAAGGCUGUUAUACAGAAA
rnacentral:lncRNA from 1 species